rnacentral:rRNA from 1 species
UACGUAGGGUGCGAGCGUUGUCCGGAAUUAUUGGGCGUAAAGAGCUUGUAGGCGGUUUGUCGCGUCUGCUGUGAAAAUCCGGGGCUCAACCCCGGACUUGCAGUGGGUACGGGCAGACUAGAGUGUGGUAGGGGAGACUGGAAUUCCUGGUGUAGCGGUGAAAUGCGCAGAUAUCAGGAGGAACACCGAUGGCGAAGGCAGGUCUCUGGGCCACUACUGACGCUGAGAAGCGAAAGCAUGGGGAGCGAACAGGAUUAGAUACCCU